rnacentral:rRNA from 1 species
UACGAAGGGUGCGAGCGUUAUUCGGAGUGAUUGGGCGUAAAGGGUGUGUAGGCGGUGCGUUAAGUCAACUGUCAAAUUCCUCAGCUUAACUGAGGGCAGGCAGCUGAAACUGGCGCGCUUGAGGGUGGAAGAGAGAAGUGGAAUUCUAGGAGUAGCGGUAAAAUGCGUAGAUCUCGAGAGGAACACCAAUGGCGAAGGCAGCUUCUUGGUCCAUGCCUGACGCUGAGGCAAGAAAGCGUGGGGAGCAAACAGG